rnacentral:rRNA from 1 species
CCUACGGGCGGCUGCAGUGAGGAAUAUUGGUCAAUGGCCGAGAGGCUGAACCAGCCAAGUCGCGUGAGGGAAGAAUGUCCUAUGGAUUGUAAACCUCUUUUGUCAGGGAGCAAAGUCACCCACGUGUGGGUGUUGGAGAGUAUCUGAAGAAAAAGAAUCGGCUAACUCCGUGCCAGCAGCCGCGGUAAUACGCAGGAUGCGAGCGUGAUCGGAGUUUAUUGGGUUAAAAGGGUGCGUAGGCGGGUUUUCAAGUUACCGGUAAAAUCGUGGGGUUCAACUCCAUCCAGCCGUUGAAACUGAUGAUCUUGAGUGUGCGAGAGGUAUGCGGAAUGCGUGGUGUAGCGGUGAAAUGCAUAGAUAUCACGCAGAACUCCGAUUGCGAAGGCAGCAUACCGGAGCCCGACUGACGCUGAAGCACGAAAGCGUGGGUAUCGAACAGGAUUAGAUACCCCUGUAGUC